UCCAGAAGUUACUGUGACCUUCCGGGAUGUGGCCCAGAACCCGGCAAAGAUGUCGAAAGCAACCCAAAGGCAUCAUGCCCUUCUGACAAAUAAAGCCCCUGCUGAAGGAAAAGCAACUUAGAUCACUUAAUGGAUGUCACAAUAAUAUGAACCAGCAUAUCUCUGAUCUUCUUAUGAAGAAAGCUGAGGUACUUUGAAGGAUCUUAGUUCCCUGACCAGGGAUCGAAUCUGAAUCCUGGCAGUGAGAGUGAGACAGGAGACAGGCCCCAGGGUGAGCAGCUGGAAUGUGUUCCCUGUGGAC